UUGGACAAUGGGGGCAACCCUGAUCCAGCCAUGCCGCGUGAGUGAAGAAGGCCCUCGGGUUGUAAAGCUCUUUUGUCCGGAAAGAAAAGCAUUCGGUGAAUACCCGGAUGUUCUGACGGUACCGGAAGAAUAAGCACCGGCUAACUUCGUGCCAGCAGCCGCGGUAAUACGAAGGGUGCAAGCGUUACUCGGAAUUACUGGGCGUAAAGCGUGCGUAGGUGGUUGUUUAAGUCUGAUGUGAAAGGCCUGGGCUCAACCUGGGAAUGGCAUUGGAAACUGGGCAGCUAGAGUGCGGUAGAGGGUAGUGGAAUUCCCGGUGUAGCAGUGAAAUGCGUAGAGAUCGGGAGGAACAUCUGUGGCGAAGGCGACUGCCUGGACCAGCACUGACACUGAGGCACGAAAGCGUGGGGAGCAAACA
rnacentral:rRNA from 1 species